rnacentral:rRNA from 1 species
GACGUAGGGGGCAAGCGUUGUUCGGAAUUAUUGGGCGUAAAGCGCUCGUAGGCGGGACAGGAAGUUCGUGUUGAAGGACCUCGGCUCAACUGAGGGACCGGCUCGAAUACUCUUGUUCUUGAGGCAAUCAGAGGGUGAUGGAAUUCCCGGUGUAGCGGUGAAAUGCGUAGAUAUCUGGAGGAACACCGGUGGCGAAGGCGGCAUCCUGGACCGACACUGACGCUGAGGAGCGAAAGCCAGGGGAGCAAACGGG